rnacentral:rRNA from 1 species
UGGGGAAUAUUGAACAAUGGGCGCAAGCCUGAUGCAGCCAUGCCGCGUGUAUGAAGAAGGCCUUCGGGUUGUAAAGUACUUUCAGCGGGGAGGAAGGCGAUAAGGUUAAUAACCUUGUCGAUUGACGUUACCCGCAGAAGAAGCACCGGCUAACUCCGUGCCAGCAGCCGCGGUAAUACGGAGGGUGCAAGCGUUAAUCGGAAUUACUGGGCGUAAAGCGCACGCAGGCGGUCUGUCAAGUCGGAUGUGAAAUCCCCGGGCUCAACCUGGGAACUGCAUUCGAAACUGGCAGGCUAGAGUCUUGUAGAGGGGGGUAGAAUUCCAGGUGUAGCGGUGAAAUGCGUAGAGAUCUGGAGGAAUACCGGUGGCGAAGGCGGCCCCCUGGACAAAGACUGACGCUCAGGUGCGAAAGCGUGGGGAGCAAACA